rnacentral:rRNA from 1 species
ACGAGUUUGAUCAUGGCUCAGGAUGAACGCUGGCGGCGUGCCUAACACAUGCAAGUCGAGCGAUUCUCUUCGGAGAAGAGCGGCGGACGGGUGAGUAACGCGUGGGUAACCUGCCCUGUACACAUGGAUAACAUACCGAAAGGUAUGCUAAUACGAGAUAAUAUGCUUUUAUCGCAUGGUAGAAGUAUCAAAGCUUUUGCGGUACAGGAUGGACCCGCGUCUGAUUAGCUAGUUGGUAAGGUAACGGCUUACCAAGGCGACGAUCAGUAGCCGACCUGAGAGGGUGAUCGGCCACAUUGGAACUGAGACACGGUCCAAACUCCUACGGGAGGCAGCAGUGGGGAAUAUUGCACAAUGGGCGAAAGCCUGAUGCAGCAACGCCGCGUGAGCGAUGAAGGCCUUCGGGUCGUAAAGCUCUGUCCUCAAGGAAGAUAAUGACGGUACUUGAGGAGGAAGCCCCGGCUAACUACGUG